ACAGAGGUCCCGAGCGUUGUUCGGAUUCACUGGGCGUAAAGGGUGCGUAGGUGGUGAGGUAAGUCGGAUGUGAAAGCUCGGAGCUCAACUCCGAAAUGGCAUUGGAAACUACCUUGCUUGAGGAUUGGAAGGGGGACUGGAAUGCUUGGUGUAGCAGUGAAAUGCGUAGAUAUCAAGCGGAACACCAGUGGCGAAGGCGAGUCCCUGGACAACACCUGACACUGAGGCACGAAAGCUAGGGGAGCAAACAG
rnacentral:rRNA from 1 species